UCCCUAAGCUUCGUACAACGCUUCUUCGACAUUGUUUCCCAAAAUGAAAAACCCUCUCCAUCUUCAAUUUAGCUUUCUCUCUCCCUAAAUCUCAAUUUAGCCUUCUCUUUCUCUCCCCUAAAUCUCUCAUUUAUCUUUCUCUCUCCCUCCCCAUCUUCAAUUUCGCAGUUCAUAAACCCUAAUUUUAUGCUUUUUGGUCGAGUUUGUCUGAAAUUUGCUUGAGUUCGUCUGAAAUUUGCUUGAGUUCGCCUGCAAUUUAAUCAAAUCGCACAUAUUUUCUCAUCUCUGAAGUUCGUCUGGUCCGCGUUUUCUGCUGCAAUAUAAAAUAUGGAAUCCAAGGCAUAUCUUAUCUGGAGAAGAAAGAAAUACUUGCCCUCCUAAUCCAGGUCAGUAUUGGGUGGGAAGUUGUUUUGUAUUGCUUUUGUUUUAGUGGAAGGGAUGUCAUUACUCAAUGUUUUUAGAUGUCAUGAAAAGAAGUAUAGUUCAAUAAAAGGGAAUUUCGCUUGCCUAAACUUUCCCAUGUCUAGAGUGAGGGGGUUAAGUAAGAGUGAUAUAAGAGUGGGGGUUAAGUAAGAGCUCUAAAAUGAAUUACUUCAUGAACUGAAAUAACUAAUUGCUUCUUUCAUUGUCCAUCAUAAAGUUCUUGUGAUGUAUUGGCAACAAUAGCAGCUAUGUACUUGAUACAUUUUGGCACUGUAUGGAUGAUUACAGACAUUAUAAGCUGCAUCAGUAACUCGAUUUCCCAUAUCGACUCUCUUUCAUUCGUCCAAUCCCGGUUUUUGACAUUGCACAUCGUAUCCACUCUGUUGCAGUUUUAAAGAACGCUUUCUAGGAAACACAUUUCACUUAUAAAAACAGAUUCCAGCCUAGGAAAAUAGCAUGAAAGAUAAUACCUGCAUACUUUUGAUGUUGUUCUGGUUCCUCCUAGGAGCUGAUGUUAUACUAACAUAUGGUUCGCUCUGUCUUGAAAAUUCUCCCUCUAUCAUCCCUGUUUAUUUACUUAUGCAAUUUAUUAUUGAUAUCAUUUUUUUUCUUCCUCUUCUUUAUUUUCUUGUGCCUUUUGCUUUAGGUAAGGGUCUUGUGUACGAUCACACAACUUAUUCUGAGGUAAUUAUUUAAUAUUUGAAUUCGUAACACUAAUAUAAACAUAAGAAGAAAAUAAAACCCUUCAAACAGUCCAGGGAUCAGAUGUAUGUAUUCUCAUAAGAUUGAUCACAAAAAUGUUAACAGAGUACAACUUUUGUCCCUGUAAAUAUGUGACUUAUUGCAGAUGGAGCAACUGAAUGAACAAUCCUUGUGGAAACUUGCAGUUCGGGAUACAUUACACUGUCGUUGUUUCUGCAUUGUCAACAAUAGAUAUGCAGAUUAGCUGUAUGCCCCUUCUGCCUCAGGAAAGAAUGCUAUAACAACAGCAGGUCAGCAGCUAUACUUGAAGAAACUACAGUUAAAACAGGCAAGGACGCGGCCUGAUGCAGCAGCCUCACCACAUUGAGCUCCAUUGGCAGCAUCCAUCUGUCACAAUCAUUUGAUAUAAGCAUGUAAUAGCUAUAGUGAAUUGUUCCUCUUUUUUUUGAUGGAAAUAUACCGAAGUUGGUUCUGAUUUGACCAUAAUUCUUGUAUGGAUUCAAAUGCUUGUUGUCUAUAUACUUUUACUCUCCCAAGAUGGACAUAAAUGUUAAAGUCCCAGUACAAUAGUUUUUGA